rnacentral:tRNA from 1 species
CGGGGCGUAGCGCAGCUUGGUAGCGCACCUGGUUUGGGACCAGGGGGUCGCAGGUUCGAAUCCUGUUGCCCCGACCA